GAGAACACGGCCCAGACUCCUACGGGAGGCAGCAGUGGGGAAUCUUCCGCAAUGGACGAAAGUCUGACGGAGCAACGCCGCGUGAGUGAUGAAGGCUUUCGGGUCGUAAAACUCUGUUGUUAGGGAAGAACAAGUGCUAGUUGAAUAAGCUGGCACCUUGACGGUACCUAACCAGAAAGCCACGGCUAACUACGUGCCAGCAGCCGCGGUAAUACGUAGGUGGCAAGCGUUAUCCGGAAUUAUUGGGCGUAAAGCGCGCGCAGGUGGUUUCUUAAGUCUGAUGUGAAAGCCCACGGCUCAACCGUGGAGGGUCAUUGGAAACUGGGAGACUUGAGUGCAGAAGAGGAAAGUGGAAUUCCAUGUGUAGCGGUGAAAUGCGUAGAGAUAUGGAGGAACACCAGUGGCGAAGGCGACUUUCUGGUCUGUAACUGACACUGAGGCGCGAAAGCGUGGGGAGCAAACUAGGAUUAGAUACCCUGGUAGUCCACGCCGUAAACGAUGAGUGCUAAGUGUUAGAGGGUUUCCGCCCUUUAGUGCUGAAGUUAACGCAUUAAGCACUCCGCCUGGGGAGUACGGCCGCAAGGC
rnacentral:rRNA from 1 species